UUGAACGCUGGCGGCAGGCCUAACACAUGCAAGUCGAACGGUAACAGGAAGCAGCUUGCUGCUUCGCUGACGAGUGGCGGACGGGUGAGUAAUGUCUGGGAAACUGCCUGAUGGAGGGGGAUAACUACUGGAAACGGUAGCUAAUACCGCAUAACGUCGCAAGACCAAAGAGGGGGACCUUCGGGCCUCUUGCCAUCGGAUGUGCCCAGAUGGGAUUAGCUAGUAGGUGGGGUAACGGCUCACCUAGGCGACGAUCCCUAGCUGGUCUGAGAGGAUGACCAGCCACACUGGAACUGAGACACGGUCCAGACUCCUACGGGAGGCAGCAGUGGGGAAUAUUGCACAAUGGGCGCAAGCCUGAUGCAGCCAUGCCGCGUGUAUGAAGAAGGCCUUCGGGUUGUAAAGUACUUUCAGCGGGGAGGAAGGGAGUAAAGUUAAUACCUUUGCUCAUUGACGUUACCCGCAGAAGAAGCACCGGCUAACUCCGUGCCAGCAGCCGCGGUAAUACGGAGGGUGCAAGCGUUAAUCGGAAUUACUGGGCGUAAAGCGCACGCAGGCGGUUUGUUAAGUCAGAUGUGAAAUCCCCGGGCUCAACCUGGGAACUGCAUCUGAUACUGGCAAGCUUGAGUCUCGUAGAGGGGGGUAGAAUUCCAGGUGUAGCGGUGAAAUGCGUAGAGAUCUGGAGGAAUACCGGUGGCGAAGGCGGCCCCCUGGACGAAGACUGACGCUCAGGUGCGAAAGCGUGGGGAGCAAACAGGAUUAGAUACCCUGGUAGUCCACGCCGUAAACGAUGUCGACUUGGAGGUUGUGCCCUUGAGGCGUGGCUUCCGGAGCUAACGCGUUAAGUCGACCGCCUGGGGAGUACGGCCGCAAGGUUAAAACUCAAAUGAAUUGACGGGGGCCCGCACAAGCAGUGGAGUAUGUGGUUUAAUUCGAAGCAACGCGAAGAACCUUACCAGGUCUUGACAUCCUACUAACGAGAUAGAGAUAUGUUAGGUGCCCUUCGGGGAAAGUAGAGACAGGUGGUGCAUGGUUGUCGUCAGCUCGUGUCGUGAGAUGUUGGGUUAAGUCCCGCAACGAGCGCAACCCUUAUCCUUUGUUGCCAGCGGUCCGGCCGGGAACUCAAAGGAGACUGCCAGUGAUAAACUGGAGGAAGGUGGGGAUGACGUCAAAUCAUCAUGCCCCUUAUGAUUUGGGCUACACACGUGCUACAAUGGUGGUAACAAAGUGAGGCGAACCUGCGAGGGCAAGCGAAUCACAAAAAAGCCAUCCCAGUUCGGAUUGUAGUCUGCAACUCGACUACAUGAAGCUGGAAUCGCUAGUAAUCGCGAAUCAGAAUGUCGCGGUGAAUACGUUCCCGGGCCUUGUACACACCGCCCGUCACACCAUGGGAGUGGGUUGCAAAAGAAGUAGGUAGCUUAACCUUCGGGAGGGCGCUUACCACUUUGUGAUUCAUGACUGGGGUG
rnacentral:rRNA from 1 species